rnacentral:rRNA from 2 species
UGAGUAGGCGGUUGCAUAUGUCAGAUGUAAAAGGCACAGGCUUAACUUGUGUUAGCAUUUGAAACUGUGCGACUUGAGUGCAGGAGAGGUAAGUGGAAUUCCUAGUGUAGCGGUGAAAUGCGUAGAUAUUAGGAGGAACACCAGUGGCGAAGGCGACUUACUGGACUGUAACUGACGCUGAGUCACGAAAGCGUGGGUAGCAAACAG